rnacentral:tRNA from 1 species
GUCGCCGUGGCCGAGUGGUUAAGGCGACAGACUCGAAAUCUGUUGGGCUCUGCCCGCACAGGUUCGAAUCCUGUCGGCGACG